rnacentral:rRNA from 1 species
AGCCAGACUCCUACGGGAGGCAGCAGUGGGGGAUAUUGCACAAUGGGGGGAACCCUGAUGCAGCGACGCCGCGUGGGCGAUGGAGCGCCUCGGCGCGUAAAGCCCUAUCAGCAGGGAAGAAGAUGACGGUACCUGACUAAGAAGCCCCGGCUAAAUACGUGCCAGCAGCCGCGGUAAUACGUAUGGGGCAAGCGUUAUCCGGAAUUACUGGGUGUAAAGGGAGCGCAGACGGCAGUGCAAGUCUGGAGUGAAAGCGCGGGGCGUAACCACGGGACUGCGCUGGAAACUGUGCAGCUAGAGUGCAGGAGAGGGAGGCGGAAUUCCUAGUGGAGCGGUGAAAUGCGUAGAUAUUAGGAGGAACACCGGUGGCGAAGGCGGCCUGCUGGACUGUAACUGACGUUGAGGCUCGAAAGCGUGGGGAGCAAACAGGAUUAGAUACCCGUGUAAA